rnacentral:rRNA from 1 species
GUCUAUGGCCAUACUACCCUGAACGUGCCUGAUCUCAUCUGAUCUUGGAAGCUAAGCAGGAACAGGCCUGGUGAGUACUGCAUGGGAGCAGUGGUUC